CCUGCUCACCUAAUGUCAAUAUGUCCCAUAGAAAUGUCAUUUAUUCCUUCCUGCAAAACCUUUCUUUCCAUGUGAACUACAGUUUUUCUCUAAUCUCCUGGGUAGCUACCUGUCACUUCUCUUUUUUCAUAUUGAAUUUUACAAUAGUUUUAUUCUAAUUCAGUGAAAAAUCAUGCCGGUUGUUUGAUAAGAAUACCAUUGAAUCUGUAGAUUGCUUUGGGCAGUAUAGACAGUUUAAUGAUAAUUUUUCUACCAAUCCAUGAGAGUAGAAUGUUUUUCCACUUGUUUGUGUCACCUAUAGUUUCUUUCAUCAGGGUUUGUAUUUAUCCUAGUAGAGAUCUUUCACUUCCUUGGUUUAA
rnacentral:lncRNA from 1 species